ACUCCUACGGGAGGCAGCAGCAGGGAAUAUUGCACAAUGGAGGAAACUCUGAUGCAGCGACGCCGCGUGAGUGAUGAAGGCCUUCAGGUCGUAAAGCUCUGUCGCAGGGGAAAAAAACUUACAUUCUAAUAAAGUGUGAGGCUGACGGUACCUUGAUAAGAAGCACCGGCUAACUACGUGCCAGCAGCCGCGGUAAUA
rnacentral:rRNA from 1 species